rnacentral:rRNA from 1 species
UACGAAGGGGGCUAGCGUUGCUCGGAAUCACUGGGCGUAAAGCGCACGUAGGCGGCUUGCUAAGUCAGGGGUGAAAUCCUGGAGCUCAACUCCAGAACUGCCUUUGAUACUGGCGAUCUCGAGUCCGGGAGAGGUGAGUGGAACUGCGAGUGUAGAGGUGAAAUUCGUAGAUAUUCGCAAGAACACCAGUGGCGAAGGCGGCCUUCUGGGACGCAACUGACGCUGAAGCGCGAAAGCAUGGGGAGCGAACGGG